AUGGGCGCCACGGAGGAUUCCUCCUCCGGCUCCGAGACCACCACCUCGUCCUCGGUGGAGGCCCUGGCCUCGCCGCCGUCCCCGACGGCCACCACCGCGUCGUCGAAGAAGAAGCGGCCGCGCAACGACGGGCGGCACCCGACGUACCGCGGGGUGCGCAUGCGGAGCUGGGGCAAGUGGGUGUCGGAGAUUCGGGAGCCCCGCAAGAAGUCGCGCAUCUGGCUCGGCACCUUCGCCACCGCGGAGAUGGCGGCGCGCGCGCACGACGUGGCCGCCCUCGCCAUCAAGGGCCGUGCCGCGCACCUCAACUUCCCCGACCUCGCCCACGAGCUCCCGCGCCCGGCCACCGCCGCGCCCAAAGACGUCCAGGCGGCCGCCGCACUCGCCGCCUCCGCCGACUUCCCGGCCUCUGCCACUGCAGCUGCCAAUGCCGGCGCCAAGAACCCCGACGGCCCGGAACACAGCGGCGCCUCCGCCUCUGCCUCCGCCUCUGCCUCUGCCUCUGCCUCGCCGCCGCCUGACACCGCUGAGGAUGCGCUGUUCGACCUCCCCGACCUCCUCUUCGACCUCAGACACGGCCCUCCGUCCUGCCAGCUUUCGUGCGCCUCCUCGUGGGACGACGACGUGGCCUUCGCCGGCCCUGGCGCCGGCGUGUUCCGCCUGGAGGAGCCGCUGCAGUGGGAGUACUAA
rnacentral:rRNA from 1 species